rfam:Cephalotus follicularis DNA, scaffold: scaffold2163, isolate: St1.
AAACCAUGAUGAGGACACUCUAAGAGAAGAUCCUUAAAAUGUUCCAUACACCUAGAAAAUGAUUCAUUGGGUUUUUGGGAAAAUUGGAGAAUGUCGUUCCUAAGUUU